AUCCUGGCUCAGAAUCAACGCUGGCGGCGUGCCUAACACAUGCAAGUCGAACGAGAAAGUCCGCAAGGAUGAGUAAAGUGGCGACCGGGUGAGUAACACGUAGCUAACCUACCCUCGAGUGGGGGAUAACCUGGGGAAACCUGGGCUAAUACCGCAUAAGAUCCUGAUGGCGCAAGCCAAUGGGAGCAAAGGUCCGCAAGGGCCGCUGGAGGAGGGGGCUGCGGCCGAUUAGCUAGUUGGUGAGGUAACGGCUCACCAAGGCGAUGAUCGGUAGCCGGCCUGAGAGGGCGCACGGCCACACUGGCACUGACACACGGGCCAGACUCCUACGGGAGGCA
rnacentral:rRNA from 1 species